GUCUUCCCCCCCUGUAUGUUUUUACCCCUUGGACUCCUACAUUGCACUGAGGGGCUACUACCAGGGGGGCUCUCCAAGGUCAGGGUCAGGCUCUGCCCCUGAAGCAGGUGGGUGUCAGAGUUGGCAGUCACUGUGGAGGGAAAGGCCAGCUGUGUCACACACAUACCAUCCCCAAGGAGAAGGGCAGACAACAGGAAACCAACAACAUCUCUCCAUUAUCGCCGUCCCAACAUCUCCUUCCUCCCAGCACCC
rnacentral:lncRNA from 1 species